rnacentral:rRNA from 1 species
UGGUGGAGUGAUUUGUCUGGUUAAUUCCGUUAACGAACGAGACCUUAACCUAUUAAAUAGUUGUUUGAACUUGAUUUCUAAAAUCAAAUGUUCAACUAACUUCUUAGAGGGACUCUUCACUGAGAGAGUGAAUGGAAGUUUGAGGCAAAAACA